UCAUGAAGGUUCCGGAUGUGAGUUUAGU
rnacentral:piRNA from 1 species